rnacentral:snRNA from 1 species
GUGCUUAUUUCAUCAGCACAUACAGUAAAAUUGAAAUGAUACAGAAGAUUAGCAUGGCCCCUGCACAAGGAUGAUACACAAAUUUGUGAAGCUUUCCAUAUUUUU